AUGUUUCUCCCUGUGGGCUUCAGCCUUUUGCUUUUCUACAAGGGCGUGCUGUGUAACCAAGUGACCCAGAGCUCCCCGGAGCAGAGAGUGGCGAGUGGCCGAGAGGUGACACUGCAGUGCACCUUCCAAACCACAUAUUCAAAUCCAGCCUUAUACUGGUACCGAAAGACGCCAGAUGCUGUCUUCCAGUUUGUCCUGUACAGGGACAAUACUAGAUCCCGUGAUGCGGAUUUUGCUCGGGGUAGAUUUACUGUGCAGCAUAGCAUGAGCCGCAAAACCUUCCACUUGGUGAUCUCCUCUGUGAGGCCUGAAGACACUGCCACUUACUACUGUGCUUUGGAGCUCCCACGGUGA